GGACAAGUAGGUAAGACCUUCCAAAAGCCCCCUCUUCCGGCUUCUCAAGUUCACUGUGGUCGGUCACUUGCACCCCUCGUACUCGGCAAUUCUCAGCCUCAGAGCAGCAGCGUCCGUUUCCCUGGGGAGGGCGCCGUACAGACUCCCCAAAUUCCCGGGCUACCGCAGGGCCGGAGGUUUGGGGACCGCGCGGGUCGCGCCCCCUCGCUCCCCCUCGCGCCCCACUACCCGGGUCUCAAAGGACGGGGGCACCGCGCUGUCUGUUCCCCGUCGCUGAGCCGCACGUCCUCUAAACCUCGGCGCGGGAGCCGGGCAGUCGUCGCGAGCUCCGGGUCCAGGCGCGGCGCCCUUUCCCACGGGGGCGCCAGGCGCUGGGGGCCUCCUCUCGCGGCCGGGGCCGGCCAGGUGCUGCUCCCGGGCGCGCGCCUCCUCCCGCCGCGCACUGCGCAUGCUCAGCCCGGCAGCGCGCCGGCUCCCGCCCUCCCGGCGUCUCUCCUCUCCUGCACGCGCCUCCGCCUCCUCGAGGCUGAGGAACCGGCCGCCUCAACUCCGCCGCGCCGGGUUUUUGGAGCUGCCGCGAGCGCUGGGAGGGAGGGGAGCGCGGCGUCCGACCGAGCACCGGGUUCAACACCGGGAUUGGUCGCAAGUAGGAAGCUUUCGCCACUCCAGCGGGACCCUCCGGCCGUGCCGGCGCCGCACCCGGAGGCUGUCGCGGGCGCCGCGCUCAGGUGCGGAGGUAAUGAGCGCUUGAAGUUGAGAUGAAUAACAUAUUUGGGGGGAUCUUUGACAUACAAUACCUCCACAGCAUGUGUUCCAAAGAACUGCCUUAAAAG
rnacentral:lncRNA from 12 species